UACAGAGGGUGCAAGCGUUGUUCGGAAUUAUUGGGCGUAAAGCGCGCGUAGGCGGCUUUGCAAGUCGGGUGUGAAAGCCCUCGGCUCAACCGAGGAAGUGCACCCGAAACUGCAGAGCUAGAGUCUCGGAGAGGAUCGUGGAAUUCUCGGUGUAGAGGUGAAAUUCGUAGAUAUUCGCAAGAACACCAGUGGCGAAGGCGGCCAACUGGUCCGGUACUGACGCUGAGGUGCGAAAGCGUGGGGAGCAAACAGG
rnacentral:rRNA from 1 species